UUCAGGUGGGAGAGAAAUAAGUAAUUCCUCACCCGAUUCGAUCUACCGAGCCAGAAGUUCUCGCACCUCCACCGUUCACUUUUUUUUACGGGAUCCACCGCUCACCCCUUCGUACUCUUAAACUUUUCUCCGCCACGAUGUAAUUUUCGGUUUAGCAUGUGCGUGGACGGUUAUUUUUUUUAUUAGUCGUGGGUUUAAGAGCUGGAACCUGGUCUCUGAAUGGGUCCAUGGAGGGCGGAAGCGGUGGCAGAUCUCGGCGGCGAGCGGCCGGAAGUUCUGUGUGGCUUGCAGCGCAGAGGCGAGCGGACGGUAGCGUCGCGCAGCCUCUGGGCUGUGUGCGGUGUGGUGAGGGCGAGCCCUUGUGUCCGUGCGGCGGGCGACCUCGUGCCCUCGUCGGCUGGCGGCAUCCAGCAACGAGUGAUGAACAUUACGGAACUACUUCCAGUAUGGUCAACAAUAUGCAUAUACAAGGGAGUCCAGGUUCUGCAGGAGAUACAAUGCUCUUCAUUCAAAUUGAUAGAGAACAACAGCACAAAAGCAUCUCACCCUUCCAGGCGGAAGCGCGCUAGCUCUUCAGGUAGCCGCUCGAAUCGCCACCACCAUUACAAGUGGCCAGAUCAUUCUUCCUGACAUAUAAUCAGACUCUAGCACAUGCAACAACUUCCAAUGAUCUUCUCCAUAGUCCUGGACAAUGGGAGAUAAGGAGUCAUUUUUAAGAUUUCCUUUCUGCGACAAGCCAUACUCAAACAUAGGUUAUUUACAUUCCUAGAAAGUUCAAUGUCAGGGAACAUAAUUGCGCAGGACAGCCUCAUCUCUCAGAUUCUAAUGAUAGCUCAAAGUUGGCUUGUUGUAAUGUAGCUCACUCAAGUCCUCAGUGCCCUAUGCUUUUGUGGAUAUACUGCAGUCUAUGACCCAAGGCAGCUUCUUGCCCUUCCGUGGUGGCCACGCUGCAACUGAGUAGUGUUUUAAGGAGAAGUGUUUUUUAUAGGGACAAAGAGAAGUGUUUUAAACAGUCCUAGAGAUCACUUGAUGCUUGAAGUUCUCGUUCUCCUUGGGCUGAGCAGGAAUCUGACCUGGUGCUGGAGCAUCAUCUCAUUUAAGAGCAGCACGAUGAGGAUCCCUACUAGACAGGAUGAACAAGAAAAAUAGCAGUACCAAGCAAGAAACAGAGUGAUGGUUAGCUACAGUCAGGAGAGAGAAAAUCUUGACUUCUGGACAAAAGAUAAACGUAGUGCCACUGAUUGCUUCAGCCCGUUUCAUCGAUCUAUUAAAAUAUGUUUACUUACAUUUUGCUAAUUUAUUAAAAUUUGUUAA